CAUCAGAGGACCAUGGCCCCGUAUCACCUGGGUCAGGCACUGAAGUUGGGACAGGAGAGCAGAGACUUCCAAAAUGAGGGAUCCCUGUGUUCUGAGGUGAUCAUGACUGGGAACCAAGGACUCAAGCGCAUGCUCCAAAGGGAAUCGUUUCCCACAAGGCCUUUGGCAGGAACAGGGAUCCUGGGAGCCUGCCAAGCAGAGCGCACAAGUGUUCCUGGAGUCUCGCUGCCCAGAUGCCACGGAAUCAGUUGAAGCCAGGUCUCCAGCUGGGGUGGACGUGCCCACCAGCCGCCGAAGGCCAGGACGCCAGGUCCGGUGGACGUGACAAGCAGGACGUGACAUGGUCCGGUGUGACGGCGAGGACAGAGGAGGCGCGUCCGGCCUUCCUGAACACCUUAGGCUGGUGGGGCUGCGGCAAGAAGCGGGUCUGUUUCUUUACUUCCUCCACGGAGUCGGCACACUAUGGCUGCCCUCUGGGCUCCCAGAACCCACAACAUGAAAGGUGAGGGGCUUCCUGCCACACUUGGGGUGGGGGGCACGCGAGAGGAGCUGAGUGGGACCUCACUCCUUCCCCAUCCACAGAAAUGGUGCUACCCAGCUCAAGCCUGGGCCUUUGAAUCCGGACACAAAACCCUCUAGCUUGGAAAUGAAUAUGCUGCACUUUACAACCACUGCACUACCCGACUCAGGAAUCGGCUCUGGAAGGUGAAGCUAGAGGAACCAGACCUCAUCAGCCCAACAUCAAAGACACCAUCGGAACAGCAGCGCCCGCAGCACCCACCCCGCACCGGCGACUCCAUCUUCAUGGCCACCCCCU
rnacentral:lncRNA from 1 species